AGCUUGGUGGUGCAGUGGGUAGCACUGGUGCCUCACAGCUCCAGGGUUCCUGGUUCAAUCCUGAGCCUGAGUUA